AGCCAUCCUUUAAAGAAAGCGUAACAGCUCACAGGUUUAAAUUUUUUGCAUCGAAAAUGUAAAGGGACUAAAAUUACUUGCCGAAACAUUAAAUUUAAAAAAUUUUUUAAAUGGUAGCAGAACGUUCAGUAAAUUAAUAAAGGUUCUUAGUAAUAUGAACUGAAGAUAUCUGAAUUGUCAAUGUUGAUAUGAGUAACGAAUAACAUUGU
rnacentral:rRNA from 1 species